rnacentral:rRNA from 1 species
GACGUAGGGUGCAAGCGUUGUCCGGAUUUAUUGGGCGUAAAGAGCUCGUAGGCGGCUUGUUGCGUCGACUGUGAAAACCCGCGGCUUAACCGCGGGCUUGCAGUCGAUACGGGCAGGCUAGAGUUCGGUAGGGGAGACUGGAAUUCCUGGUGUAGCGGUGAAAUGCGCAGAUAUCAGGAGGAACACCGGUGGCGAAGGCGGUUCUCUGGGCAUGUCCUGACGCUGAGGAGCGAAAGUGUGGGGAGCGAACAGG